AGCAGCCGCGCCAGCCUCAUGCCGAGUCCCGCUAGAGAAGCCACAGCCAGUACGCCAGGUUUCCCCGCGCCUCUGCCGAGUGGGUUGAAGGCAAAUACUUGAAGUUGCAAUCGAAGGUCAAGAAAAUGGAAUCAAGAGGUCACAAUCCUUCUCUGAUGAUGGCUUAGAAAGCUGGAAGACACUCAACAUUGAAUCCUGGGGCUCUGUGCCAUGCUUGCUAGGAGAAACAGCCACCAUGAGUCCAUCUUUCAGAUCUCAAGUGAACAGUCAUUCUCCAGCUGGGAUUGAGAACAAGGGGAAGCUGGCCAUAGAGCCAGGUGACCAAAGAUGGAAGACAAAGGGUGGGCUGUGAUUCCCAGAGCUCCAAGCCUUGUUCUGUCUUGUCACACCAACUGUUACUGAUGAACAGGACAGAGAGUCACUGUGAUUGCCUACUUUGAAAUGGUUCAGAGCCAGUCACUGCCUUUCCUACAGGCAUAUACCAAAUCUACAUUCACCACAAAAACUGGGCUUGUGAAAGGUAGGCAUACAUUAAUAUUCUUUCAACCACAAGCAGUGAGAAAGAUGACCUUAUAAAGGAGGAAGGAAUAAAUCAUAACGCAUUCUAAACUGAACUGGAUUCUGAACAGUGACAAUUGUUCUCCAUCCUGGAGGAUAAAAUUUUUACUAUAAGCCAGUAUGUUCUUUAAAAGCUGGCAAACUAAUUUUUAACUCAUGAUUUACUUACAAUGCUUAUUAAUAUUGCUGAUUUAUUAAAAUGACAUACUCAAGACCAUACCUAGUAUAUGUCAGCUUUUGGUAUAAUGAAAAGACCAACUGCUCCA
rnacentral:lncRNA from 1 species